rnacentral:rRNA from 1 species
UACGUAGGGGGCAAGCGUUGUCCGGAAUCAUUGGGCGUAAAGAGCGUGUAGGCGGCCCGAUAAGUCCGCUGUGAAAGUCCAGGGCUCAACCCUGGGAUGCCGGUGGAUACUGUCGGGCUCGAGUCCGGAAGAGGAGUGUGGAAUUCCUGGUGGAGCGGUGAAAUGCGCAGAUAUCAGGAGGAACACCCGUAGCGAAGGCGGCACUCUGGGCCGAUACUGACACUGAGGAGCGAAAGCGUGGGGAGCGAACAGG